UCUGGCCCCGCCCAGCCCGCCAUGCCUUCUUGGGAGCAAGAGAGAAGAUGGGCCUCCAUUGCCACUGCAUCAUGGCCAAACCCUCAUCCCUAGCAGAACUCAGAGGACUUCAGCUCCAUGAGUAGGUGACAGCCUCCUGGAGACUCAGGCUCAGCUGAGGAUGGUGGUAUGCAGAAGACAGCGUCAUACUGUCGGAUAGAAGGGCCCGUUUGCAUUUAUUUGGAGCAAAAAAAAGGGGACGCCUGGCAGCCUGGUUCUCUGCAGUGCCGUUGAGCCACCAGUUUAUGUGGUUUUGUGACUGCAAAUGCUGCUUGAUAGGACAUGAUCCUGGUCUUGUCAUGAAUCAUCACCAGGCUGGUUAUUGGAAACCAGAUGCAGCAAGGAAAAUAGGAUUUAACCCCUUCUCUGCCUCCCAGCCUCCAAAAGAAUUUAAUCUGCUGGACAACAAACAAUACUGUUAUAAAACUUUGAAAACAAGAGGGCGAGGCCUCCCUGACAAGAAGAAGGGCAUGCCGGGUAACGGCCGAGAGAGCCUGCCAGGCUGAGAUGGAGCCGGGCGAGAGCCCAGUUGGCUGGGUACCUGAGUGCCUGCCCCUGCCCAGCCCGCCAUCCGCGCCAUCCCCAGUCCAGAUGGGAAGGAACCGAAAUGAAAGCGGGCAGAGAAGCGCUUGAAAAAGGGAAGUUCAUACGUGUUCCCCUCUCUCUGAUCUGAUGAGAAUGCACUAGACUGUGAAACUUCCUCCCCUCCCUCCCUCACACUCCCUCCCUCUUCUCUCCUCCUUCCUCCUCCUGCCUCCUCGCACCACUCACUGUUCCACGUCCUGAGACUGGCAGACAGAGGGCCUGAUAACAGAAUAAGACUGGAAUAGCAGUGUAGGUACAGCUACUAGCCGGGCCAGCUGCUGGGGAAGCAGGAGAGAAAGGUGCUCUAAGUUGGCUUUGGACUCUGGACCUACCCUCUGUCUACCCAGCCUCCCUCCCCCAACUAGGGAAGUGGAACCAUGUCACGAGGUGUGCCCCAGUCCAUGUGCUCUGCCAGGUGUGUGCCCAGGUACUGGGUAGAACCGCCACUUGGAGGUUUGUGGGUAUGCCCCAGGCUUACUGGUAGCCUGCUGGGGGCCAUGCUCUGGGGAGGAUGUCUGACUUGUGGAGAUGCUCUCCUCUCCCUCCAGGAGGAGUGAGGGCUGUGCUGCAGAGGCCGGGACCCACCUCUGGC
rnacentral:lncRNA from 1 species